rnacentral:rRNA from 1 species
GUGGGGAAUAUUGGACAAUGGGCGAAAGCCUGAUCCAGCCAUGCCGCGUGAGUGAUGAAGGCCUUAGGGUUGUAAAGCUCUUUCAGUAGGGAAGAUAAUGACGGUACCUACAGAAGAAGCCCCGGCUAACUUCGUGCCAGCAGCCGCGGUAAUACGAAGGGGGCUAGCGUUGUUCGGAUUUACUGGGCGUAAAGCGCACGUAGGCGGAUCGUUAAGUCGGGGGUGAAAUCCUGGAGCUCAACUCCAGAACUGCCUUCGAUACUGGCGAUCUUGAGUCCGGAAGAGGUGAGUGGAACUCCUAGUGUAGAGGUGGAAUUCGUAGAUAUUAGGAAGAACACCAGUGGCGAAGGCGGCUCACUGGUCCGGUACUGACGCUGAGGUGCGAAAGCGUGGGGAGCAAACAGGAUUAGAAACCCCUGUAGUCC